rnacentral:rRNA from 1 species
UGUGUUUAUUAKAUACAGAACCAAUCCCUUCGGGGUCUUUGGAUGAUUCAUAAUAAAKGAACGGGGCGUAUGGCUUGUGCCGACGCUGUGUCAUUCAAGUUUCUGACCUAUCAGCUUUCGACGGUAGGGUAUUGGCCUACCGUGGSAUUGACGGGYAACGGAKAAUUAGGGUUCGAUUCUGGAGAGGGAGCCCKAGAAACGGCUACCACUUUUAAGGAAGGCAGCWKGCGCGCAAAUUACCCARUCCUGACACAGGGAGGUAGUGACAAGAAAUAACAAAGCAAGCCAGAAUUCUGGUUUUGCUMUUGGAAUGAGUARAAUUUAAAUCUCUUUACKACUAACAAUUGGAGGGSAAGUCUGGUGCCRGCAGCCGCGGKAAUUCCAGCUCCAAUAGYGUAUAUUAAAGUUGUUGCGGUUAAAAAGCUCGUAKUUGGAUUUCUGUUGAAGAGGGGCGGUCCGCACUAUGUGCGUGUAUCUGCUUCCGCUUUGGCAUCCUCUUGGGGUACGUAACUGUGCUUGAUUGCAUGGUGCGGAAUUCAAGACUUUUACUUUGAGGAAAUUAGAGUGUUCACGGCA